CCUACGGGAGGCAGCAGUGAGGAAUAUUGGACAAUGGAGGCAACUCUGAUCCAGCCAUGCCGCGUGCAGGAAGACUGCCCUAUGGGUUGUAAACUGCUUUUAUACAGGAAGAAAUGUACCUACGUGUAGGUAUUUGACGGUACUGUACGAAUAAGGAUCGGCUAACUCCGUGCCAGCAGCCGCGGUAAUACGGAGGAUCCAAGCGUUAUCCGGAAUCAUUGGGUUUAAAGGGUCCGUAGGCGGUCUUUUAAGUCAGAGGUGAAAUCCUACAGCUCAACUGUAGAAAUGCCUUUGAUACUGAAAGACUUGAGUUAUUGUGAAGUAGUUAGAAUGUGUGGUGUAGCGGUGAAAUGCAUAGAGAUCACACAGAAUACCGAUUGCGAAGGCAGAUUACUAACAAUAUACUGACGCUGAGGGACGAAAGCGUGGGUAGCGAACAGGAUUAGAUACCCUGGUAGUCCACGCCGUAAACGAUGGAUACUAGCUGUUCGACCAACAUUGGUUGGUUGAGUGGCUAAGCGAAAGUGAUAAGUAUCCCACCUGGGGAGUACGCUCGCAAGAGUGAAACUCAAAGGAAUUGACGG
rnacentral:rRNA from 1 species